rnacentral:lncRNA from 1 species
AUAACUAGGUUUUUAUGAAUGUAAUUCUUGUAUAUGACUGUAGAAGAGCCAUGGUAGAUCCCCAUUUUUUAAAAAGAUGUAUUAUUUGAAAGAGUGACAGAGAGCGAUCAACUGAUUCACUCCCAAGAUGGCCUCAAGGGCUAGCUGAGCUGGGCCAUUUAGGAACAGGAGCUUCAUCCGGGUGUUUGCAUAUGGGUAGCAGUGGCCCAAGUAAUUGGACCAUCCUCUGCUGCUUUUCUCAGGCUAUUAGCAGGGAGCUGGAUUGAAAGUGGAGCAGCUGGGAUUAGGACUGGUGCCCCUAUGCGAUGCCAGAAUUGCAGGUGACACCUUUACCUACUGUGUCACAAUGCUGGCCCAGGAUCCUAUAUUUCCUAAAGAGGCAAAUCUAGGAGAGUUGGAAAAGAAAGAGAAGUUAUAGGAUAAAUAUGAGGCACCUUCUGGAACACCAGUUUCGCUGAAAUGUUUGUGUGUGGGCUGGGAAAUUGGGUGCUUUAACUGCACUACCAUCUCCUGGGAUGCGGCUUCUCCAGGUGAAACAGAGAUGGAAAUGUCUCACCAGCGUGAUCAAUUAAAUGAUGUAGAGAGAAGCCUUUGCUUCCCGACCUUAAUCCACAGUGCAAGAAUGAAUGAAAGAGACUGAAGAAAGAGAGAUUCAAAGAUCUAGGACAUGUGCCAUUGGUUCCUGCUAGAUUGUGUUUAGGAUGGCCACUGGAAGAGAAAGGAAAUCUUAACCAAAAGAUGCCCAUGUGUUCCCAGUGAUGUGAGGGAAGCUGCAGGCGGCAAGCCAGACAGCAUUUCAGGUCAGGAAUGAGGUGAGUACUUGGGUACU